GCAUUGGAGGCUCAGUGGUAGAAUUCUCCGACUUCCAUGAGGAAGACCUGGGUUUAAUUCCCAGCCAGUGUA
rnacentral:tRNA from 1 species